rnacentral:rRNA from 1 species
AUAUGUGUAAGUAACUGUGCACAUCUUGACGGUACCUAAUCAGAAAGCCACGGCUAACUACGUGCCAGCAGCCGCGGUAAUACGUAGGUGGCAAGCGUUAUCCGGAAUUAUUGGGCGUAAAGCGCGCGUAGGCGGUUUUUUAAGUCUGAUGUGAAAGCCCACGGCUCAACCGUGGAGGGUCAUUGGAAACUGGAAAACUUGAGUGCAAUU